rnacentral:rRNA from 1 species
AGAGCGAACGCUGGCGGCAGGCUUAACACAUGCAAGUCGAGCGGAUGUAGCAAUACAUCAGCGGCAGACGGGUGAGUAACACGUGGGAACGUACCUUUUGGUUCGGAACAACACAGGGAAACUUGUGCUAAUACCGGAUAAGCCCUUACGGGGAAAGAUUUAUCGCCGAAAGAUCGGCCCGCGUCUGAUUAGCUAGUUGGUGAGGUAAUGGCUCACCAAGGCGACGAUCAGUAGCUGGUCUGAGAGGAUGAUCAGCCACAUUGGGACUGAGACACGGCCCAAACUCCUACGGGAGGCAGCAGUGGGGAAUAUUGGACAAUGGGCGCAAGCCUGAUCCAGCCAUGCCGCGUGAGUGAUGAAGGCCCUAGGGUUGUAAAGCUCUUUUGUGCGGGAAGAUAAUGACGGUACCGCAAGAAUAAGCCCGGCUAACUUCGCGCCAGCAGCCGC